rnacentral:lncRNA from 1 species
ACCGUUGUUCGAUGCAUCAGACGGCUCACGCGUCCCCACGUGGGGCUAGAAAGGAAGACGUACGAGGUGGACACCCGCACGCGUCAGCGCGAAACCCGGGGAUGGGAUCCAAAAGGUUGGAAGCAGGAUGAAGGGCGAGGGAUCUGGACGAUCCCUGACCGGAUGAGCAUCUCAGUUGCUUCCUUCCACGACCUCGACCUUCGCAAAGAUCAAUGCAUCCCGACUCUUGAUGGCACUGGAAGGUCUGGGAGGUCAUCGAGGCCGACAACGGGAUGUUGUUUUGGGUUCUACGCGACAAGGUGAUGGAAUUGGAGCAAUGGCUGGGCGAAGGGAUGGG